GCAGAAUGAAAUAAAAUGAAUUUCAUAUAUGAUGCUUUAAGCAAAAUAUAGGAGCAAAAAAAUUGUUGGUCUUACCAUAUCUGAAGAUAUUACAAUUCCCUGAUAAAAUGAAUUGGAAACAUUCAAUAGGCUAUUCCUGUAUCAUAAUAGGCUGUUCCUGUAUCAUAACAACUUAUCAUCAUCAUCACCAUCAUCUCAGUCACAUACUCUUAUCUCCUAAAAACUAGAAUUCAGUCUAAUUAGGGAAGAAAGGAGUUUAUACGGCAGGACAAAGUCAUGUAUGAGGCAGAUUUUCUU
rnacentral:lncRNA from 1 species